GGGCCCGUGGCCAAGUAUGGAUUAAGGCGCCGGCCUUCGGAGCCGGAGAACCGGGGUUCAAAUCCCCGCGGGCCCG
rnacentral:tRNA from 1 species